GGCUGCUCCAAAGGUAGUGAAUUAUCUCACCUGACUGUUCACAGUCAGUUACAGACUGAACUUGUUCUACUCUUUCCCCACUUCCAACUGCUGCACAUGAGACUAGUCUUUA
ensembl:misc_RNA Y_RNA Y RNA